GAAACGUCACAGCUGUUCUGGUAGCUAAUCAUAUGUCACGUUACUUUAACCGCAGUUGCUAUCAUCAUAGGAGGAACUAUUAACUUUACAUGCCACACUGAAUAAUCGGUAAACACUCUGGUGAAAUCGGAAGAUUUAACUUCACAGAUAGGAGCGACAAAGUAAUUAAGGUAAACAUGACCAUGGAGGAACCAGGUGCUGAUAUAGAGGUGACUGUCAAAACUUUGGACUCCCAGAGCCAAAGUUACACUAGGCGGACAGUUGACAGUGAAAGAGUUCAAGGAGCACAUUGCCACUUCAGUGGACAAACAGGCUGAUCUACCAGGGCCGAGUUCUGCAGGAUGAGAGGACCCUGACAGAGUACAGGGUGGUCAUUGCGUUAUGAAAAACUGGACCUAUACUAUUCAGUCUGGAAAAGAUUAUUUGACAUCACAAGGCAGGCCUGCGCUGCAAACUCUAAGUGUGGAGUGGAGAGUGGCUGAACUCCACCCAGUGUAUCCUGCUGCAGGAGAUAGAGCGUCACUUGGACCCACUAGAGACACACGACACCCUCAACAGAUUCAUGCUUUACGAGCUUUGUCAUUUCAACAGGGUGUAGCACUGAGGUAAGAAUCUAAAUUAUUCAUUCACUUUUAUGUUUAUGCACUUAUCACUACUGCUCUUCCAUUUUGUGGUUAUUAGAUUACAUUUGCUCAUCCAUCGCCACAAUCUAUUACAGGCUGCCUGCUAUGUGUUGGAGUCUUCCAUCAAGAUCAUGCUAUGCAUCGAAAUAGGUUUCCUUUUGAGAGUUUAUUAUUAGCGUAUUGCCCUCUCUAACUUUGAUCUAACUCAGAAUCGUGGAACUAGUUGAAAUGAAGAUCUCUCCUCUCAUUUCCCAGGUGUAAUAGUAAAAACAAAUAAACAGAAAAAAAGAACAGCUACUCCAAGUCUAUUCCAAAGUCUCAGAAUGUUUAGAAUAGCACUAAUGCCCCAGGUGUAGACGUCUCAGCAUUUUCCAUCGCUCAUUUAAACUUGCAGUGACAUGGCACAUAGUUAUCAAGUUUUCGAAGAAGGGCCUAUUUCCAGGCAAAUAUUUCAAUUUCACGCAUUUCUCUUUUUGUGAGGGAUGACUUAACUGUCAUGGUUCACUGAACUGCAUUGUUCCACUCUUUUUGCCUACCUUCGUCAGUGGAGGCUGCUGAGUGGAGGAUGGCUCAUAAUAAUGUCUGGAAUGGAGUCAAUGGAAUGGUAUGAAACACCAUUGACUCCAUUCCAGCCAUUAUUAUGAGCAGUCCUCCCCUCAGCAGCCUCCACUGACCUCUAUCUAAAUACCAUUCAUCAAUUUAGAAAAGAAUCCAGGGCUAGUUUACCGGGGGAGUAGCCUCCCACGUAGUUACACUUACAGUGCAGGGGAAAUUCCCAUGAUGCUGCAGACGGAGCAGAGGCUCAGAGCACACUAUCGUUCACAACUAGAGUGGUCAUCCACAGUUCUCUUCAUUUGCUGUAAUGUAAUAAUACACAGGGUGACUGAAAGCAGAAAUGGUGAAAUUUGCUUUCACCUGUCCUUUUAUUUCUUGUAAGGUUAUUUCUUUGACCUUUCUUUGACCUGUUCGAAAUCAAGAAAAUAUGGGUAUAUGAAGGGGUAGACUAGGGAUUUGGGGUGCAUUGGAUACAUUGUACAUGUAAUUUCUAUGGCUUAAAUACUAUAACAUCUGAGACCAGACUCUCAUGUCUGGUCCUAUAAAAACACCUACAGUAUACACUACAUUGGCAAUAAACAUUUUCCUAUACAAGAGGGCAUUGAAAUAGAGAAUUCUUUGAGUUAAUAGUUUCUCAAAAUUGUCAAAGCCAUUGAUUGAUGUAAAAUAGCGAGACUUUCAUCUGCACUGUCAUCAGUAAUAAAGCACAAUGUCCAGUCAAUAUAUUUGACAUCAGGUGAUGUGGGUUUUUACUUGUAGCCUCAAGGAAAGGUCAAACAACAGUGGUGUCCUUUUGCCUAUGUAACCAUUUGAAUCCUAUGCUGUAGCUCUGGACUCAUAUUCAUAAAGCAGAGCAGGAGUGCUGAUCUAGGAUCAGUUUCGCCUUUCAGAUAAUGAAUAAGAUUACAUAGAGGGAACCUGGUCCUAUCAGCACUUCUACUCUGAGAAGCUUUAUGAAUAAGGGCCCUGGUUAGAAAUGAUUGACAUACCAGGGGUUGCUACCAGUGACGGGAGACAAUCGAUGGCUGAGUUAGACAAAGUCAACAUGUAGCUAACAAUCACCAUUCAAGUACCUCUGUGUUUCAACUAUGCCCGGGGCUAAUAUGAAUGUCAGAAAAUAUCCUGAAACCAUGAUGAAAUCCUUGUCUCUCUCCCUCCCCCUCUCCACUUAUCUCUCUGAAUUACGCACUUUCAAAGACUUGUGACGCACCAACAUGAAGACACUUGACUUCCCAGAUGAACUUUGGCAUGAAACAACUUGUUGACCGACAGAAAGUACAGAGUACAGUGUAAGAAUUGACUUCCUGUCUCUGUCAGAAUGACUUUAGAUUCUUACCUUUCUCUCACCUGUACGAUGUCCAUAAUAGGACAGCCUCAAUCUCAGCAGGACAUCUUUCAGUCUCAGUAGGACUUGUUUCAAUAAGUUAAUAUAGUCACAGUACGGCUGAGAUUCUAUUCCCAGUGUGUUCUUCAUUUCAGUAGUUUCUCAAAUAUCAAUGCCAUUUACAGUAUGUGAAAACAUAUCUUGUUAAGCCCAAGAAUAGGCAGUCAAACUCCCCCGCAUAAUAUUUCAUUACUGUCAAACGAUGGUUCUUCCAGCCCACCUGUAACACAGCUGAUUGUUGUUGAGCAGUUCGCUAGUUAUAUUGAUGAGCAGUUCACUAGUGAAACACUAAUCAGAUGGUAGUGCUGGGCAGAAACACACUUUAGUUCUCCCUGACCAGGAAUGGUGACCGCUGGUGUAUAAACCAAUAUUGAGCCGAACACAUUCUACGAUGCUGUACAGAUUGGCUGUACAGAUUGACAUCAAUGAUCUAAAACUGGACAGAAACUGAUCAAUGAUCUGAAACUGGACAGAAACUGAUCAAUGAUCUAAAACAGAACAGAAACAGAAUAGAAACUGAACAGAACAUGAUUAUAUUGAUGCCAGAAGGUUUCUGCUUUCAACAACAGCAGUGCCUGAACUUCUGCAUUUCAGGAAGAUGGGGAAAAGACUUAAAGGCUAACAUGAUUGAAGGCCUUGUCUGACAACUUUGCCUGCAUUGGGUAAGCACCUAAACCGUCUGUGGCAUGUCAAGAAAAGCACAGGUUGAUUGGGGAUGCCCCAUGGAGCAAGAAACCAAGAGCAGGAAAGUUACAUAGAAAUCUACCAACAAACGCUCUCUCCUUCUCUCACUUUCGCUCUCUCCACUUUCUAAAAGUUACUUUCAGUCCUGUUUAUGAAAUCAACAGUGUUCAACUUCACGCAUCUGCAUUUCCAUACCCUAUGUAUCAGGAAUCAAGGUAAGACCUAAGUGCAGACUGUGUGAAGUAACCAUGUUUAAUGACAGGUCAAGGCAGGCACGGGUCGAUAAUCCAGAGUGGGAGCCAAGGUACAGGCAGGCAGGCUCAGGGUAAGGGGCAGGCAGAUGGGCUCAGAGUCAGGACAGGCAAUGGUCAAAACCAGGAGGUUGAGAAAAGAGACUGCAGGAGCUGAGAAACAAAACGCUGGUUCACUUCACAAACAAGACGACCUGGCAGCAGACAAACAGAGAACACAGGUAUAAGUACCCAGGGGAUAAUGGGGAAGAUGGGCGAUACCUGGAGGGGGUGGACACCAGCACAAGGACCGGUGAAACAGAUCUGGGCAUGACACUGGCUAUUUCCAUGCCCUAUGUAUGUAAAGUCAGAUUGAGUCACUGUGGCUGCCAGCUGGUUUAUGAAACCAUGAAGAAAACUCCCUGUCAUUUGUUUGUACCUGUGGAACCCACUGACACUGACCUAUAAAUAUGUGUGGGAAAUCACAUGCCACCCACAUCUGUCAAUGUUGUGCCUGACUCAUCUGUAGCCUUACUAGCCUAUAGUUCCUCGCCACAGGGAUGAUAGUGGUUCUGUCACCUUCUCUUUGUCUGUACUGUCAUACCUGAAUAAAAGUAAAGAUACCUUAAUAGAAAAUGACUCAAGUAAAUGUGAAAGAGAACUGAAUUUUAAAACGGAUUCUAAAUGCAUUUCACAUGUUGAAUAUGUGAAGCUAUGGUAAAUUUGAUAGUUUGCAAAUGUGAUACGCAGACAAUGAAUGCAAUAUUCACCAUAUUGAAACAGCAUAUAUAAAUAUUGAAUUUGAAUAUUCAAUUAAGUUGUAAUAUCAUUUUAAAUCUGAAUGCAAUAUUCAUUCAAUUACUUUUUCAAAUCAUGAAAUACAAGUUAAAUUGAUUAAUUCUAUGAUUAAAUGUGUGCAUUACAAAUGUAAAAAUAUUGCAUUUGA